rnacentral:rRNA from 1 species
CAGCAGCCGCGGGAAUACGAAGGGUGCAAGCGUUACCCGGAUUUACUGGGCGUAAAGGGCGUGUAGGCGGCCUGGGGCGUCCCAUGUGAAAGGCCACGGCUCAACCGUGGAGGAGCGUGGGAUACGCUCAGGCUAGAGGGUGGGAGAGGGUGGUGGAAUUCCCGGAGUAGCGGUGAAAUGCGCAGAUACCGGGAGGAACGCCGAUGGCGAAGGCAGCCACCUGGUCCACUUCUGACGCUGAGGCGCGAAAGCGUGGGGAGCAAACCGGAUUAGAUACCCCGGUAGUCCCUGUCUCUUAUAU